rnacentral:misc_RNA from 1 species
GAUGAAGAACGCAGCGAAAUGCGAUACUUGGUGUGAAUUGCAGAAUCCCGUGAACCAUCGAGUCUUUGAACGCAAGUUGCGCCCGAAGCCACUAGGCCGAGGGCACGCCUGCCUGGGCGUCACACGCCGUUGCCCCCCCAUCUACUCCUUCGGGAUUGCGGGGGGGCGGAUGAUGGCCUCCCGUGCGCCUAGCCGCGCGGUUGGCAUAAAUACCAAGUCCUCGGCGACGCACGCCACGACAAUCGGUGGUUGCGAAACCUCGGUUGCCCGUCGUGUGCGUUCGUCGCGCAUCGAGGGCUCGAAAAAAUGCUCGGCUCCGGCUGGGCUUUCAACGCGACCCCAGGUCAGGCGGGGUUACCCGCUGAAUUUAAGCAUAUCAAAGCGGAGGA